GUUGUGCACUUGAUUAUAUGAGUUUGUUAGAAAAACCACUUUCCUUUGCUCCUAGCGCCUUCUCGUUCGCUGUAUAGCGUUUUGAGCGGAUAAAGAGCACAAGUGUGUAAGGAGACACAGGAUGAAUGGGAACUAGUUUUGUAAUUGUACUUUUGAUGAAAAGUCACUUUCUAGACAUAAAAUGUCACUUUUUUCACCUUAUCAUACUUUUUCAUCAACUUUUGCAUUUUAAUGUAAACAAUCAUAUUUCGUAAUAUUUUGGGUCAGAAACAUUUCAUAGUACUAUAUUAUGUCUAACUAUGUGAAAAAUAUCAAAUUGGAGUAGGUCAGUGCAACUGAUUAUAUGAGUUUGUUAGAAAAACCACUUUCCUUUGCUCCUAGCGCCUUCUCGUUCGCUGUAUAGCGUUUUGAGCGGAUAAAGAGCACAAGUGUGCAUGGAGACACAGGAUGAAUGGGAACUAGUUUUGUUAUUGUACUUUUGAUGAAAAGUGACUUUCUAGACAUAAAUUGUCACUUUUUUCCCCUUAUCAUACUUUAUCAUCAACUUUUACAUUUUAAUGUAAACAAUCAUAUUUCGUAUUAUUUUAGGUCAGAAACAUUUCAUAGUACUAUAUUAUGUCUAAAUAUGUGAAAAAUAUCAUAUUGCAGUAGGUCGGGCAAUUGAUUAUAUGAGUUUGUGUGAAAAACCACUUUCCUUUGCUCCUAGCACCAACUCCAUCGCUGUAUAGCGUUUUGUGCUUAUAAAGAGCACAAGUGUUUAUGGAUUCAAGGGAUAAAUGGGAACUAGUUUUGUUAUUGUACUUUUGAUGAAAA
ensembl:lncRNA